AACGAACGCUGGCGGCAGGCUUAACACAUGCAAGUCGAGCGCCCCGCCAGGGGCACGGCAGCUGGGUGAGUACCGCGUGGUAGCGUACCUGUUGGUUCGGAACAACUCCGGUAAACUGGCGCUACUUCAGGAUAAGCUAUCACGGGGAAACAUUUAUCGCCGAAAGAUCGGCCCGCGUCUGAUUAGCUAGUUGGUGAGGAAACGGCCCACCAAGGCGACGAUCGGUAGCCGGUCUGAGAGGAUGAUCAGUCACACUGGGACUGAGACACGGCCCAGACUCCUACGGGAGGCAGCAGUGGGGAAUAUUGCACAAUGGAGGGAAGCCUGAUGCAGCGACGCCGCGUGAGCGAUGAAGGCAUUAGGGUUGUAAAGCUCUGUUGUAUGGGAAGAAAACGACUGUACCAGAAGAGAAAGCCCCGGCUAACUACGUG
rnacentral:rRNA from 1 species